rnacentral:rRNA from 1 species
AUUGAACGCUGGCGGCAUGGCUAAAACAUGCAAGUCGAGCGAGAAAGUGGAGCAAUCCAUGAGUAAAGCGGCGAAAGGGUGAGUAAUACGUUCCUACGUGCCUCGAGGUCGGGGAUAGCCAGGGGAAACUCUGGGUAAUACCCGAUGUGAUCGAGAGAUCAAAGGCUUGCCGCCUUGAGAGCGGGGAACGUCCUAUCAGGUCGUUGGUGAGGUAACGGCUCACCAAGCCUAAGACGGGUAGCAGGUGUGAGAGCACGGCCUGCCACAUCGAAACUGAGACACUGUUCGGACUCCUACGGGAGGCUGCAGUAACGAAUCUUCCGCAAUGCGCGAAAGCGUGACGGAGCAAUGCCGCGUGCAGGA